rnacentral:lncRNA from 1 species
CUCUGUUAGGGACUGUGUGGGGUGUAGCAGAAAGGAUGCAGACUACUGGCUCUCAGAGGAUUGCUACCUGGUGAGAGUGGACACACAAGAGAGCCUGAGAGCUUUAACUGAGAGUUGAAGUUAUUCUGGAGGAGGAAGAAGACAGGCAAGAAGAAAGAGGGCUUUGUAGCUAGAGGAAGAGCAUGCGCAAUGGCAAGGGAGACGCAAAGGCUCAGUGUUUGCCCAGAGUGAGCUGCUUUUGGAGUGGUCAUGAAUUAAAAUGGAUAUCCAACUGUUCCAUGAGGCAACGAAUGGGGAUUUUACAUAUUAAAUCAGCAUUGUCUGCUGGAGCUCUCUGCUACCUGGGAAGGCUCUGCAUUUGGGCUGUCAAAGCCACAAGCUCAGACAAUGAAGAUGGCAAACUGAAGUCUUCCUCUAUAGGCACAACUUUGCAUCAGACAUUUGAUGGGAGAGGUCCAUCUUUGAAGGGAAGUUUUAUUUAAGUCUGUCCCUGGAUCCACAUCAUCCGUACGUCUGUCUACAGGGCAAAAAACUUCAUCUUUCAUGAGUGCAAUUUCAAACUUGGUGCCAACGAGAGACAUCUUCCCUGGACUCAAAUGCGCGAAGCCUGAACAGGACAUCUUGAGUGUUAGCUUCUCUGGGAUGGCUGCGGUGUGCAGCACAUUUUUGUUAAGGUGUUAUUCAAAGUUUCUGAUUAACAUAAGUUUUUCUUAAAAUUAUACAAAAACAUAAUACCAUGAUUAUGGAAAUAAAAAGCCACCCACAAGCUUACUA